UACAGAGGGUGCGAGCGUUGUCCGGAAUCACUGGGCGUAAAGGGCGCGUAGGUGGCGCGACAAGUCAGUGGUGAAAGUUCGACGCUCAACGUCGAAUCGGCCACUGAUACUGUUGGGCUUGAGCACUGUAGAGGCUAAUGGAAUUCCGGGUGUAGCGGUGGAAUGCGUAGAGAUCCGGAAGAACACCGGUGGCGAAGGCGGUUAGCUGGGCAGUUGCUGACACUGAGGCGCGACAGCGUGGGGAGCAACAGGG
rnacentral:rRNA from 1 species